GGAAGUCAGAGACGGGAGGGAAUGAAAGCAGCAGAGGAAGAAGGAGGCAGAGACUGGACGGCCAGCAAGGCCUCAGUGCCCUGCACAGUUUAAGCUGAGCCAGAUGUUCUUCCUGUUUCCUUGCUUGAUCCUCCCUCUUGCCGACGCCCUCACCUGGAGGAGUCAAGCCCAGCACAGAUGCCACUGAGACAGGUCAAAGCCAGGGAAAGUUCCUGGGAUCAAAACUUGGCUAAGUAUGAUCCAAACUUCCAAGCAGUCAGAAGUAGAAAGAGCCAGAAGAUAAAUCUAACCCAUUUUUGAAGGCGUGCCAAAGGUGAAAAGCAGGAAAACCAAAAUUACUCAUCAAGUCUAAAGGGGGAGCACAGAGCCAGAAGCUGAGAGGAGAAGAGGAGUCAAGCAAGUCAGUGCCAGAUAUUAUUGUUGCCACUUGAUAGAUGAAAAAACGGAAGCAAAACCAUUAACUGCCUUCCCCAAG
rnacentral:lncRNA from 1 species